rnacentral:tRNA from 1 species
AGCUUGGUAAAGCAUCUGCCUACAAUGCAGGAGACCCAGGUUCAAUCCCUGG